GCCGGGUGCGGUGGCAUGUGCCUGUAAUCCAAGUCACUGGGAGGCUGAGGUUGGUGGAUCAAGUGAGCUGAGGAGCUCUGGGCUGCAGCACGCUAUGUCGAACGGGUGUCCACGCUAAGUUCGGUAUCGAUAUGGUGUUCCUGGGGGAGCCCGGGACCACCAGGUUGUCUAAGGGAGGGGUGAACCGGCCCAGGUCGGAAACGAAGCAGGUCAAAUCCCCCGUGCUGUCCAGUAGUGGGAUAAUACCUGUGAGUAGAUGCUGCAGUGCAGCCUUGGCAAAACAUUGAGACCUAGUCUUUU
rnacentral:SRP_RNA from 1 species